AGACAAUUGAUCCCGUGGGCACCGUUUAGUAGAUCUCCCUUUUUUCAAGUUAUACUUUUUGUUUGCAUAUCCCUUUUUAUCCUUAGAUUGAUUAAAGGUAGGGCCUCCCUACACAUCACCUACUCCUAUUACCUACAUAUUUUGGAGGGUUACCCCCUCAUUGGAGCUCCCUAUUACGUGGUUACAGUGGUGCAGCUCAUGAGCCCUUGACUUGUAUCCGGACUCCUGACCUGCACUCUAUUUACU